rnacentral:rRNA from 1 species
UGGGGAAUAUUGGACAAUGGGCGAAAGCCUGAUCCAGCUACGCCGCGUGUGUGAUGAAGGCCCUAGGGUUGUAAAGCACUGUUGUAGGGGAAGAAUAAAAUGACGGUACCCUAUGUAGAAAGCACCGGCUAACUCCGUGCCAGCAGCCGCGGUAAUACGGAGGGUGCAAGCGUUGCUCGGAAUUACUGGGCGUAAAGGGUGCGCAGGCGGUUCUUUAAGUCAGAUGUGAAAGCCCAGGGCUCAACCCUGGAACUGCAUCUGAAACUGGAGGACUUGAGUAUGAGAGAGGAAAGCAGAAUUCCUGGUGUAGAGGUGAAAUUCGUUGAUAUCAGGAGGAAUACCGGCGGCGAAGGCGGCUUUCUGGCUCAUAACUGACGCUCAUGCACGAAAGUGUGGGUAGCAAACAGG